rnacentral:rRNA from 1 species
AACUUUCAACAACGGAUCUCUUGGUUCCGGCAUCGAUGAAGAACGCAGCGAAAUGCGAUAAGUAAUGUGAAUUGCAGAAUUCCGUGAAUCAUCGAAUCUUUGAACGCACAUUGCGCCCCCUGGCAUUCCGGGGGGCAUGCCUGUCCGAGCGU